rnacentral:tRNA from 1 species
UUAAGCUUUCGGGCCCAUACCCCGAAAAUGUUGGUUUAAACCCCUCCUCUACUA